UGCCUUGUAGCUCAGUGGUAGAGCAGUCGCCUGUUAAGCGAACGGUCGUAGGUUCGAUACCUACCAGGGCAGCCA
rnacentral:tRNA from 1 species